GUACUUACUAUUGUUUUAUGUCUACAAUAUUCUCGUUUGAUAUUAUCAUAACACCACUUUCACCAACACAAUCGCCAUUAAUUGUAAUGCCGAUUGUUAUUUAUUUUUUUUUCGGUGUUGCGCGGCUUCUUUGACCAAAUAAUCGUUCACGAGUCACGACUCACUACUGAAUUUUUGAUUUUAUUAACAUAUUGUCGUCAUUAUAUUAUAUUAACUUCAUUUACAUUGGG